CGUCAGAACUUCUUAAGUGUCCAAAGCUUCAUCACCCUCUGAAGAUCCUCUUGAAGUCUGUGAAGAUUCUCUUUUGCGAGUCAACUCUUCUACCAAUGAAGAAAAGGACCUUUCAAGCUUGAUCAGAAUAGCUACUCUCAUUUUUGUCUGUCCACUCUUGAGAACGUGGGUCAUCAGACUUGUUAGCUGAAUAAGGAAAGUCUUCUCUGCACAUGGUCAAAGUAUCUGAAACUCUUACUCAGUUUUAGAAACAACCAAACUGCAUCAAGACAAGUUGCUUGAAGACAAAAGGCUAUCCACUUCAACGGUCAUUUCUGCAACGACUCUUUUCUAGCUGUAUAUAUAUAUACUAGAAGGAUCAGUUGUAAAAUAUACAAUUAAGAUUAUCAAGGAUUUAACACGCGCUGAACAAACUCUGAAUUCUGUGUAUACAAGCUCUGAACCUCUGAUCUAGUGUUUCUGCACUUGUAGUUCAAAUACUUUGUAUUCAUUGUAUUUGCUCUGUUAGGUUCUUCUAAGAGCAGUUGUAUUCUUUCAACUAUUUACUAUCUCUUGUACUUGAGG
rnacentral:lncRNA from 1 species